CUUGCGCAUUACUUCCACGAAAAUUGUCAGCCCUAUAUAUUUUAGUAAAAUAAUUAUACUUGUACUAUUAUUAUUGUACAAUUAUUAUUAUAUAUAAAUUAUACAAUUGUUAUUGUUAAAAAUGUUGAUGUUACUUCAGUUGCUCUUUAGCUAUUACAGUUAGACUCACUAGAUAAGACUUGCACUCUAGCUAAAAAAAUUAAAUACCUCAAUACGUUGUGUGAAGCAUUGUUUAUAUAUUAAGUGUUAUACUUUGCAAAUUUUUUUUUUUUAUUAAUUCAAUAUUAUACAGCUCACUUAAUAGUUAAUGCUCAAUUUUAUUAUUACUAAUUUCAGUGUUAAUUAAAAAUCUAAAUUGGUCAGUUAAAAUCAUGAAAUUGUGUUUGUUAUUAGUCGUAGCAGUUCUUAUGGGAUUAGCAUUAUCGAUAAAACUGAGAGUAUGUGAAAGAGAUGAAUACGACUCAAAGGAAAAAUGUGAUGAAAACUGCGUUCCAUUUCCGGAGGGCAAUCAAAAAUUUCCAGUUACAUGUCAAUUGUAGCAGUUCUUGUGGGAUUAGCAUCGUCGCAAUCAAAAAUAUGUAAAAAAGAUGAGUACGAAUUAAGCGAUACGUGUGAGGAUCACUGCAAAUUUAAGAAAGACAAUGUCGAAUCCGCUCAAGGUAUAUGUAGAGUAUCGACUAUACAUAAGUUUGAUUUUGGUGAAACGGCUACACAAUAUUUCCAAUGUUGGAAAUGUUUUUAUGACCUGAGGAACAUACCAUCUAUAGAGAUGGUCUCUUAUUAAUCCAUAAUAUUUGUGUUAU